GACGAACGCUGGCGGCGUGCUUAACACAUGCAAGUCGAACGGAAAGUCCCUGCUUUUGGGGGUUGCUCGAGUUGCGAACGGGUGGGUAACAAGUAAGUAACCUGCCCGUGACUUUGGGAUAACUUCAGGAAACUGGGGCUAAUACCGGACAGGUACUCCUGCUUCAUGGUGGGGGUUGGAUAGUUUGUUCGGUUGGGUAUGGCCGGGGGGGUAAUCAGCUUGUUGGUGGGUUAUUGGAUGACCAAGGCUUUGACGGGUAGCCGGCCUGUGGGGGUGACCGGCCACAUUGGGACUGAGAUACGGACCAGAAUGCUACGGGAGGCAGCGGUGGGGAGUAUUGCGCAAUGGGCGGAAGUCUGAUGAAGAAAAGCCGCGUGCGGGAUGACGGGCUUUGGGUUGUAAACGGAUUUCGCCUGUCACGAAGCGUGAGUGACGGUAAUGGGUAAAGAAGCAACGGCUAACUACGUG
rnacentral:rRNA from 1 species